rnacentral:rRNA from 1 species
GAUGAACGCUGGCGGUCUGCUUAACACAUGCAAGUCGAACGAACUCUUCGGAGUGAGUGGCGGACGGGUGAGUAACGCGUGAGAAUCUGCCUGUGGGUCGGGACAACCACUGGAAACGUGGCUAAUACCGGAUGAGCCGAAAGGUAAAAGAUUUAUGCCCACAGAUGAGCUCGCGUCUGAUUAGCUAGUGAAGUAAACGUACCAAGGCACGAUCAGUAGCGGUUGAGAGGAUGAGCAGCCACACUGGGACUGAGACACGGCCCAGACUCCUACGGGAGGCAG